GGGUCGAAAUCGUACCCGUACUGUGGAUCGUCUUCCACCUUCGACCGUCCGUCCGCUUCCGCCGGAUCUCGCCUGAUUUUGCGGCGGUGGGUGCGGGAAGACGUUGCGCCGGUGGAGCGGGGUGCUGGUGCGGCAGUGAACGGGGUGGCGUCCUUCUCCGAGCUUCGGUCACGGGCGGUGGCUUCCAAUGGUGAUUCGGCGGCGCUGCAAGGUGAAGGCGGUGGUUGGCGCCUGUGUAGCGGCGGCCGGAAGGGAAAACGGCGAGAGGGGGGGGGGAAAAAAGAGGGAGAAAGCGGCUUAUUCGCCGCUCGGGCCACUGUGGGGGUAGCCGGCGACGGGGUCUUCCCCUUCUGUGCAGGGACCGAGAGGGAAGGGAGAGGGAAAGGAGACGGUGGUGGAGGCGGCGGCGGUGGGGGGCGAAGGCGAUCUGUGGAUUGACGCCGGAAGACAGUCGACCGACGGGAGGGUUUUGCUUUUUCUUUUUUCUCGGUGGGUGAGGUGAUGAACAGGGAAGAAAAUAAUGAAGAAAUGGAGUGACCCUUCUUCUUCGGGACGCGUGCCGU
rnacentral:lncRNA from 1 species